UUCAGGAACUCCAUCCAAGCAUCUCCUGCAGAGAAUGAAACCAUCAGCUGUCCUCGAAGCGGUGCUCCAUACUGCGGUGACACACAACGGCCUCAGCAGGUGAUAAGAAAGGCAUGAGAACAGGCUGGAAGGAGAAUGAACUACUGAGGGGCCCAAGCUGAAAGAAAUAAAGACUUCCAGUACAUCACCCUGACAGUAAAGAACCAAGAAAAAGUGAAGUCUGGUCCUAAUACAUCAAAAAUCUAUCUUUGGAAGCAUGCUCCCCUGCUCAAACAUUUAAAACACCAGGAUUUCAUCACGGGGCAGACUGAGUGCAAGAAUUCUUCCUGGGUGUUGAAGUUCUGCAACCACCACCACACCAUCAGGACCGGACAGCAACGGGCGGACGGAGAUGGUGGAUGAGAGCUGCCAGGUGCAUGCAACUUCUUGCCCAAGAUUUCCAAGACCUGAUGGUGUGGAGAGCUUUAAAAGAAGGAUCUGAAGGAAAGCAGUGAUGCAACUUCGUGGGUGCCUCUUGCUGUGAUUUAGUGCUGUCUGUGCUCAGGCACCAGCUCAGCCUGCAGCCAGGCAUCACUUCUAUCACUAAAGUAGUGCUGCACACUGUGUGGAUAUCCCACAGACUAGUCAAAAGAGGACAAAGCAUCUCUCCUCUCACUUGGAGUACAGCAUGCACCAGUAACUUGCAUGAGAAUUGUAUUACCCAGAACCUGCAUGAUGACUUCACACACCACAAAAUAUGGGCAGUCACAGGAGUGCAACUGCAGGGGCCCUCCUUGGCUUUCUUCAGAUCACAGUUUGCCAGCUCCCAUCCCAGAAAUGUGAGUCCUGAGAAUGACUGCAGAAACUUUUACUUGUCUGAGCUCCAGGAGUAUUUAUGUAAUUUAAUCGAUGAACUGCACUGAUUUAUUUGCACUAAGUAACUCCUUGGGAUCUGGAUAAUAGAUAAGGGUGUGCACAGUGCUGUACAAACACAUCAUAAAUAAAUGCAGCUUGCAAAUCAA
ensembl:lncRNA